rnacentral:rRNA from 1 species
CCUGGCUCAGGACGAACGCUGGCGGCGUGCCUAAUACAUGCAAGUCGAGCGGACCUCUUCGGAGGUUAGCGGCGGACGGGUGAGUAACACGUGGGCAACCUGCCUGUAAGACUGGGAUAACUCCGGGAAACCGGAGCUAAUACCGGAUAGUAUCUUGAACCGCAUGGUUCAAGCUGGAAAGACGGUUUCGGCUGUCACUUACAGAUGGGCCCGCGGCGCAUUAGCUAGUUGGUGAGGUAAUGGCUCACCAAGGCAACGAUGCGUAGCCGACCUGAGAGGGUGAUCGGCCACACUGGGACUGAGACACGGCCCAGACUCCUACGGGAGGCAGCAGUAGGGAAUCUUCCGCAAUGGACGAAAGUCUGACGGAGCAACGCCGCGUGAGUGAUGAAGGUUUUCGGAUCGUAAAACUCUGUUGUUAGGGAAGAACAAGUGCGAGAGUAACUGCUCGCACCUUGACGGUACCUAACCAGAAAGCCACGGCUAACUACGUGCCAGCAGCCGCGGUAAUACGUAGGUGGCAAGCGUUGUCCGGAAUUAUUGGGCGUAAAGCGCGCGCAGGCGG